rnacentral:rRNA from 1 species
AUGCUCCAUGAGAUGGUCGAAUGCGGAACAACAGUGAGCUUGUCCACAUACAACAUAAUUCUUGGGGGACUUUGUAGAAAUGAUUGCACCGACGAAGCAAUCGUCCUAUUUCAGAAAUUAGGUGCAAUGAAUGUGAAAUUGGAUAUCACAACACUCAAUACCAUGAUUGAUGCAAUGUACAAGGUUCGUAGAAGACAAGAAGCUAAAGAUUUGUUUGCUGCAAUAUCAGCCAGUGGCUUGGUACCUAAUUCUCCUACUUACGGCACAAUGAUACAAAGUCUACUAAAAGAAGGAUUAAUGGAAGAAGCUGACAAUAUCUUCUCAUCAAUGGAGAAGAGUGGCUGUGUUCUGAGCUCUCGUCUUUUAAAUGAUAUCAUCAGAACAUUACUGGAAAAGGGGGAGAUUCUAAAGGCCGGAAAUUAUAUGUCUAAAAUUGAUGGGAAGAACGCCCAACUUGAAGCUUCAACUAGUUCGUUGUUGUUGUCUCUGUUUUCAGGGGAAGGGAAAUAUCGGGAACAAAUACAGUUGCUCCCUGUAAAGUACCAAUUCUUCGAUGCAGUUAGUUGA